GCCUGGUUAGUUUAAACGGUAAAACACUUAUCUCAUACAUAAGAUCUGAUAGUUCGAUUCUAUCACCAGGUU